rnacentral:rRNA from 1 species
CGCGUAGGCGGUCUGAUAAGUCAGUUGUGAAAUCCCGGGGCUCAACCCCGGAAGUGCAAUUGAAACUGUCAGGCUUGAGUAUGGUAGAGGGAAGUGGAAUUCCUGGUGUAGCGGUGAAAUGCGUAGAUAUCAGGAGGAACACCGGUGGCGAAGGCGGCUUCCUGGACCAAUACUGACGCUGAGGCGCGAAGGUGUGGGUAGCAAACAGGAUUAGAUACCCUGGUAGUCC